rnacentral:lncRNA from 1 species
UUGAAUAUUUUCAUAAUAAUUAAAAAAAUAUCGAAAUAUUUAAUAAUAUCAUUUUUAAUUUAACAAUAUCAGAAAUAUUAAAAUAUUUACUACUAUAGAUUAAAAAAAUUGUAAUUAAAUAAUAUUUGUCAGUUGAGCACACUGGAUACACUCUGCACCUGCAAUGGUUGAAUGGAAUCUCUCUCUAGUGUGAACAAAAGGGAAGUAAUUAGUAUGAAGUUUAUUUUUAGAUAAAUUGAUUAAUUAAUUAAUAGAGGGCUGAGAUACAUGUGAAACUCUAUAUGUGUCACUAUUCUAUUGACUAAUUAACCAACUUACUGGAUCCGAGCAAUAGCUUAGCUCAGAGAGAAAAGAGCUUAAAAAAGACCCAUCACUUCGAUUCAAUCAUCAACAAAAAAAACCCAGAAACAUGAGAAAAAAAAGAAAAAGAAAAAAGAGUAUCAACAAAAGUGACAUUACUAAUUCAUGUUGUAUUAAUUAAUUACUUUCUCCUUCCUCAAUCCUAUAAUCUUCAAUUACAGUAAAAUUAAAAACCCUUUUCUCCUCCAAUGGAGAUUCAGACCCAAAAAAAUGGAAGAAAAGAAAAUAAUUAUAUAUACAUGAUUUGUUUUGUGUGUAGAUCUUGUGAUUCUCCUCCUCCUCGGAUGCUGGAAAAGCUUAGAACAGGGUUAAUGUAGGAAACCCAUUAACAAUCUCAUAGAAAGGAAGAGAAAUUCAAAACCCUUGAUGAUUUUUGUUCAAGAAUCAGAGUAAUCACGCCAGCAGAUGAGCAUGGUGACACAGCGCCUCAUGAUGUAAAAUCUAGCUCUCUGUUCCUUCACGAGGCUAGCACACUUUCUUGUAAAUGAGCAUCUUCUACUUUGAUGGGAUGAUUUUGUUGUUGAUGAUGAUGAACUUCUGCUCAUUAGAGAUGACGAAGUUGAAAAACUUCUAGAUGGGCCUUCUUUUUUGGACGACUUCCAUUUCUCAUCUAAAUACAACUGUGAUGGUUGUGAUGUAGCCAUUAGAGACUACUUAAAGAAAAUUUCUAAGUAAAUCUCUUUUUGGGACAACACAGAAAAGAGAGAGAAAACAAUGGAGUAACAAAGAUUGGUGGGGUGGGGUGGAGUGGAGUGGGGAAGAUGAUGAUGAGAGAGAUGGAUUACCAGGGAGGGGUACUAUUUAUAAGGGGGAAGAAAAUAAAAGGGGUAGCAGAUGCGUGUGGCAGGAUGGGUAUCUGAAUUCUCACCUGGGUCUUUUUUGCCUAGAGAGUCCCAUCUUUUUUAAUAUAUAAUUAUUUAUUUAAUUGAAUUUUGUUGUUUUA